GACAGUUUGAGUGAGUGUCAGGGGCAAGACGCAAAGUCAGAUCUAGCUGAUUCGAUGAACAGCCAUUCAAUUGUCUUUCAUCUCCUGGUCUUUUCUUCCUCCCACUGAAUUUGGACUUCUAGCCCUGAUGGACCCCUGAGUUCUCUUCCCCUAACACAGGGGCAUGAGGAGGCACUCGGCUGCCCUUCCGCACGCGCAGCAGCAGGUGGCGCCAAAGGAACGGUGUUAGAGAUGAGCCAACCCUCAGUUCAGGUUGUGGCUGGAUUAUCUCAAGACUGGACAGGUACUGGCCAGCAGGCGAGGAGCAGAUCGCUUAGCCCCCCAUUCGACAGAUGGAGACACUGAAACCAAGAUAAGGGGAAUAAGUGACUUAAGUGCCCCGAAUCUCACAGUGACUUGCCCAAAUCACAGAAGGAGUUAGUGGCAGACUUUUUCCUAAGCCACUUACUUCUGCAGCCUAGUCUCAAUUGUUUUUCUUCCCUCGACCAUUCAUUUCCCUACCCAAUUAACUAACUAAACACGCUUUCUCCCUC
rnacentral:lncRNA from 1 species